UACGGAGGGUGCAAGCGUUAUCCGGAUUCACUGGGUUUAAAGGGUGCGUAGGUGGGCAGGUAAGUCAGUGGUGAAAUCUCCGGGCUUAACCCGGAAACUGCCGUUGAUACUAUCUGUCUUGAAUGUAGUGGAGGUGAGCGGAAUAUGUCAUGUAGCGGUGAAAUGCUUAGAUAUGACAUAGAACACCAAUUGCGAAGGCAGCUCGCUACACGAAUAUUGACUCUGAGGCACGAAAGCGUGGGGAUCAAACAGG
rnacentral:rRNA from 1 species